AAAAAACCGUUGCGUCUUUUUACACAUGAAGCAAAAUUAGCUUGGAUAUCUGUUAUCUGUGGUAAUGUUACGUGAAUUCACCCACCAAGCCACUAAAAUAUUUUGUAGUUUGAUAUGUAGGUGGCGCUGUUGAUAGUUCACCUAUUCGCCGCUAGAGGGCCAAAUAAAAUUUUAGUGGGUGAAUAUUUUGGUGGGUAAAUUCACGCAAGUUGUGGAAUGCACAUGUCACACCAUUCCCCUAAGGGCCAACAUUGAUUAAAAGUUGUUCGGCUUGCUUCAAGUGUCUCUCACAAUUUUGAUUUGUUAUUGUUACAACAGACAUUAUUGUUUUGUUGAUCCUAAUCUUCUUUUUUUUCAAUUUUCGACUCGCCCCUUCCCCCUACUGGGAAAGGAACCUUUAUUACUUGUUGGUGAAACGAUGUUUUAUUAAUCUUGAGAUAUGAACUUCCUGCUGUUUAUUUUCUUCGUCAACUAUUGUUGCAUUUGGUAAACUCAAUUUUGUGAUUUUGAAUGGUCCACAAUAUACUGGGUCUCUUGUGUCUAUUUUCUUUUUGUAAAUAUACCGUUUCACUUACUCUUAUGUCUGUGUGGAUUAUUUUAUUGUUGACCAUAUUUGUGCUGCUGAUUUUUUCUCAGUUUAGUGUUUGCGUGACGUUGUUGUGAAUUACUUGUAAUCUAGAUUUCAGUUCUUAUUGGUAUGACUCGAGAUUGUACAAAGGAUCUAUGUUAUUGUUGCAAAAUUCAAAAGUAUUACAUUUUUUUCCAAAUAUUAAUUCAAAUGGUGUGAAAUCAUGUUGUAUGUUUGGGGUUGUAUUGUAGCAAAAACAAUAGAAUGGUAACCACUCAUCCCAAUUGUUUUUUUUUUUGCUCGUUCACAAAUAUUCGCAAAAAUUCAUUUAAACAUUUAUGGUUUCGUUCUAGGGCGCCAAUAGUUUGUGGGUGGUACGCCGUAGAACAUUUGUGGUUUACUUGGAGUAGUUUGCAUACUUCAUCAAACACUCCCUUGUAUUCGGUACCUUGAUCCGUUUUAAUACAUUUCAUUGGUCCGAAUACAAGUAUACAUUUUUCCACGACUGUUUUAGCUAUGGAAACAGCUGAUUUGUCCGGUACGGGAAUUGCAAUAACAUACUUGGAGAGAUCAGAUUGCAGUGUAACUGCAUAGCGGUUUCCAUUUUCAGUGAGUGCGAACGGACCGAUGGUGUCAAUGGACACGACAUCAAAGGCUGUGUUAGGUGUAGUAGUAACUACAACGGGUGUUCUUACAGGUAUUGCAAGUUUGUUUAUUUUGCAAAGCUUGCAAUUUCCGACGUAAUCUGGAAUUGUUUGCUUCAUUUUUGGCCAGGUGUAAAGGGACUUGAGUUUCUUAUAUAAUCUAUUUAUACCGAUAUGACCUCCAGUUGCAGAGUCAUGGUACUGUUUUAAUAUGCUGCUUAUCUCAGUCUCUGUAGAAACUUGGACAGGUUUCUUAUAAAUUAUUAUGGCAGUAUUCCGAAGAAUAGCGUUGCCUAUCUGUUCAAAUGUAUUCAUGUCGAUGUAUGAGAAAAUUACAUCGUUCGAUUGAAUUGCUAGCUUUUUCACUUUUGAGUUUGUUCGGAUCGGAAUUCAAUUUCGGUGGACUGUAUCGGAAGACCUCUGGGUGUCGGGAAUCGUAGCGGUUGUACGGUGGAGGAACUCGGUUGGUCGUACAUAUAUCGGAUUCGGAAAGUUAAACAGGAACUAAUUUUAACACUGUAAACUUUAUUACACUUUAAUCACAACUACUCAACUGUCACUAGCUUCUUAUAACGCUUUAUUUAUGCUUUCGUAGUUCUUGUCGCUUGUAAACACAUUAGAAAAAUACUGAACUCAUCCCGCAUAAUCAAAAACCAUUGCUGAAGCGGUGAGGACUUUAACUGUACUUAAUGAAGUAUGGUAACUGUUCGUGAUAAUAUCUUUUAUCAGUUAUUACUGUACUAAAUUGAAUGACUUAAACUAUUGAGCUACAAUAUUAUAUUCAGUAUCCCCAAAUAGGAUAGUGAGCACUAUUUGUUCACCACACCUUCAACGGUUGAAGCUCCAUCGAGAAACGAAGAGACAUCUUCCAGCAAACGCUGUAGUCGCAGGUUUUUGUCAAACUAUAAUGGAAGUAUCUCCGAGCAGAACGAAGUUGAAGUCGACAUUGCACGACGAAUGCAAAACAGCGUCCCUCGCAGCCUGGAAGAAUACAAAUAUGCCUACUCACAAAGAGAAAUGUGCUACAUGGCUGGAAAGUGAUGAUAUUUGCAGCAAAACACGGAUAACGCAACAUUGAUUGAUAAAAGACAUAAGGAACACAAGAAUGCAUUCGAGCAAACCAGUUGGAUAGGAAAAUAUGACGAGAUACAAUACUUUCUCUCGAAAAUAAAAGCACGUGUCGAUGAUUUAUUAAAUAUUCAUGGUUUAUCCGUUAGAUUGGUGUUAAGUGACAGUCCACGAAAUGAUGUAAAGAUGUUUAUCUAUGGCAGCAGCAACAAUGUACAGAGACAUUUCUAGCUCGAACGAACUGAACGCAUUCAAACUUGGAUCCGCUAGAAUUAGAAUAGGCUACAAUAGAAUGAUUCACAAAGUAGACCUGGACGAAAUAAGGAAGAACCUAGAACACAUAGAAAGUCUAGCCAGCAACCUAAACGCAACAGACCAUUUGAUGGGCACCCUCGACUUCAAACUCAAAAGAGCCCAUAACAUACUCAAAAACCUAUCACCAAAACGAUAGAGAAGAGGAUUGAUUAACGGCCUCGGAAAAUUAGUCAAAUUAAUGGCAGGAAACCCCGACCAAGACGAUUUAGACCUUAUCAACAGCAACUUAGAGACGAUAGAAAAAACCGAAAAUCAUCUCAUUCAAAAUCAAAAUAAGCAAGUUAAAAUCAAUCUAGGCAUCCAAAACAUGGUUAACAAAAUAUCAGACACAGUAAGAAAGUUAAAAGUACAAGCCUUUAAUAGUAUUAACCAUUUAAACGAUGAAAUCGAGAUCAUGAAUCUAAUACUUAAUCUUGACAUUCUGAUUAAAAUCUUAGAAGAUUUAAGAGAACAAGUAACAUUUGCGAAAUCAAAUCUGCUAAACUUAAAUAUCCUUACUGAAAGCGAUAAACAAUACAUCCAUAGAAAACUAGAAGAUCAGCAUAUCCACAUUAAUUUUGAAAAUGAAUUAUCAGAAUUUGUAAAUUGUAUUGUAAUAGUUAAAGACAAUCUUAUUUUUAUAAUUGUAAAGAUACCGAUUGUCGACACAAAAGAAUCCGAACUACUACAACUGGUAGCCAUAUACACAAACGGAAGCAGAAUCGAUACGAACGUGCAGUAUGUUGCAAGGAACCGAGACACAAUUUACGAACAGAAAAACGUAUGCGUUCUAUGUGGAAGCUCUCACCAACUCCAAGAUAAUUGUAUCUACAGCAUCAUAACAAACAGACAAGCGAAAUGUUCAACCGUCAAGACACAGAACCAGAUAAUACUAGAUACUAGUAGACACCAACACAGCAAUCGAGAUACUCGACUCAUGUGCAGACAACCGGAUGAUAUCAACGCCCACCAUUGUGGAAACAGGCAAUUGUACGGUAAAAAUUUCAAACUUUACCUUUGGAACCAAUACAGAAACGGUAGAUCAACCAGACUACUUCUUACCACUCUUGGGAAGCAAGAUUGAAAUCGACAAAAGCAAACCAAGCAUCGAAGAGAUACACCACUCGAAUCUCGAAAAUAUCGAGGAGCUAACAAAGGUCAAAAUCCGACUAUCCCACCAAAAUGCAAUAGGAACGAUAACAUUUGCCACAUUUGUGGCGAUACUCUUAAUUCUGCUUUAUUUCCACAGGCGUAAAAAUACCAUCCAAGGUAUAGCAAUCCCCAAACACUUACAAAAAAAAAACAAGGAGGCAAAUCUGAAAAACCCUGAAGACAUAGAAACGUCCUUAGGAGACUUGAAGCAUCCCACAUCCAAAAUAAACGGUACCCCAGAACCGGAAGUCAAUCGAGGACGCUUGACACUUAAGGGGGGAGACGUUACGAAAGAGCUACCCUGGUAACCAGUACGAACGGAAGAACCACCCUUGCACCCAAUAAGCCACAUCGAUCGUCCACCGCGAUCGACGCACAACACAAAUGCCGACGCAGCCAAAAGCAACAUAGCAACAGCACGAAGAACCAACGCCAGCUAGGAGACACACCAACGUGGACGACGACGACAUCAAAUGCUGACUCACCAAAAUCGACUUGAUUUUUCUUAUGACUAAUCAAGGUUAAUCACCUAAAACAAACAGUGAUACUAACAAGUGAAAACAUAACAAUUAACGUCGCGAGUGGUGAACCUAAGCAGGAACAGCGCAUAUCUAUCCAUCUUUCGGAUUUAUCCAUUCAGUGACAGUAAAGUGAAACCUGAGGGUAUCUUAUUCGCGAACCGCGAAGUUCAACGUAACCAAACGAAAUUCAAAUCCGCGUAACCAUUGCUUCUAGCAGCAAAGCAAACACGAGAAGCAAGCGUGAUAUUGUAUUUCAUUUAAAUAGAGGCAUUAUGGCAAAUCCAGCCCCUAAUACAAUUUCAACAGAGCAGCUGAUUGCUCAAAUAAAAAUACUUACAGACAACCAGAACAGGUUGCUGCAAACCAUAAGCGGACUAGAACAGAAAGCCAGAGACCCGUUUAUAAAUUUCGUCACACCGGACCCUAUUAAAAAUAUCCCAAAUUUUAAUGGGAACCGUAAGGAAACGCUUGCGUGGAUCGAAGACACACAACAGACGUUAGAUUUAUUUGAAGACUACGAAGACGACCCCACGUAUAAACAAAUUAUUACGAGUGGUCAGAUCGAGAAUAGUCGGGGAAGCAAAAGAGGUGCUUAUCGCCUCCGGCAACCCUAAAUAAUGGUGUAAUAUCAAAAAAGGUCCUUUUGAAUUCUUUCGGUGACAAAAGGGAUAUUACCUCACACAUACAAUCUUUAUUCUACAUCAAACAAGGGAAAGCUACUCUUACUGAGUACUAUCACAAAGUAAAAACGAUCGAUACAGCGAUCAAAUCUUCAGCAGCACAAAUGGAGGAUUACAAACACUCCAUAGAAGCAGUUAACAAACUAAUAAGCUUGAUGUCGCUCACGAGAUACGUGGACGGACUGAAUGGCGAACAGCUAUCAAUGUACGUGCGAAGUUAUCGGCCCAAAUCAUUAGAAGAAGCCCACGAUAUAACAACGCAACACUCA